GGCUGUAUAGUCUAGUCGUAUGAUACUCGCUUUGGGUAGUUUCUACUUGCGAGAGGUCCCGAGUUCAAUUCUCGGUGCAGCCC